GACGAACCGAGCGAACGUUGUUCGGAAUCACUGGGCGUAAAGGGCGCGUAGGCGGCCUGAUAAGUAGGGGGUGAAAUCCUGCGGCUUAACCGCAGGGCUGCCUUCUAAACUGUCAGGCUUGAGCACAGUAGAGGCAGGUGGAAUUCCCGGUGUAGCGGUGGAAUGCGUAGAGAUCGGGAAGAACAUCAGUGGCGAAGGCGGCCUGCUGGGCUGUUGCUGACGCUGAGGCGCGACAGCGUGGGGAGCAAACAGG
rnacentral:rRNA from 1 species